rnacentral:tRNA from 1 species
ACCUGGUUAGCUCAGUUGGUAGAGCGCUCCACCUGUAAUGGAGAGGUCCCGGGUUCGACAGCCGGACCAGGCG